rnacentral:rRNA from 1 species
UACGGAGGGUGCAAGCGUUAAUCGGAAUUACUGGGCGUAAAGCGUGCGUAGGCGGUUCGUUAAGUCUGUUGUGAAAGCCCCGGGCUCAACCUGGGAAUGGCAAUGGAUACUGGCGAGCUAGAGUGUGUCAGAGGAUGGUGGAAUUCCCGGUGUAGAGGUGAAAUUCGUAGAUAUCGGGAGGAACACCAGUGGCGAAGGCGGCGACCUGGGCCAAUAUUGACGCUGAGGUGCGAAAGCGUGGGGAGCAAACAGG